AAAGAAAGAAAGAAAGAAAGAAAGAAAGAAAGAAAGAAAGAAAGAAACUAACUCACCCUCUGGGUAGCUACUGCAUUUAAUCCUGUCUUUGAAUGAUUCCUUCUCUUACGGCAUGCUUCAGAGAGACAUCUACUGUACACUGUAGGUAGAAUGAGAUGGGAAGAUUCUGGACUGUGCCACUUCUGGUGACAUUUUGACACAAAUACCCCACAGUAGCACAACCACUAGCACAUCAAACCACACAUUACAAUUGUGGUUAUCCAUCUGUGGAAUGCGCUCCCCAGUGAGGUCCGCCUGGCUCCUUCACUAACAUCUUUUCAACACCAGAUUGCACAUUCACUCUGGAAUUCCAUAUGUAAACCAGAAAACACAAGUGGCUUUUUUGAAUGAUCAAUACAAUCCUUCCAGCAAAUUUAUAAUAAUUUACAGUUUGUUCCUGGAAAGGUAACAAUCUAUUCACCCAGAGAAAAUCCAUUUUGCUUACCUUGUUGUUAUUGUUAAUGUGCUAUUUAUUUAGAUUAAAAUUCCAUUAUCUUUCC